UCCUAUUUUUGUUUUUACAGGCCAAGACGUUUUGGCAUCACUCCAAGUCAGUCAAUAAUUAACAUUAAUUAAACUGAACUAACUGAUUCGACCCAAAGCGAUAUUAUACUUGAAAGAGAUAAUUUCCUUUAUCUUCCAUUUACAGAAACAAUAAAAACGAUUCUUGAAAUAUACCAAACUGGAAAACAGAGAAAGGACAAAAAUAGCGAAGACCAUUGUAUCAUAUAUACGGAUCCUAAAGGAAGAUUUUUGUCCAGUCAGUUAUAGUGAUUUUUCCAGUAGAAGCAAGAAAACCUACUAUAUUUCCUUUAAAAUGGGUCAUCGCAUCAGAUCAAAAUUAUUCGAUGCUUACAAUAAUCGGCGAAGUAAAUUGAGCUGAGACGUGCUGUUUCUCUAGUAUGCGAUUGGAUGCGAUUGAUUAAACGAUUUCUUAUCAAACUGUAUAUGGGCUUAUGUGUUUAGUUAUGUUACUCAAGUACUUUAUUAUUUAAAACAGUUAGUCAAUACACCCAACCAUUAAAAAAAUCUGAAAUAAAUAAGGCUGAACUAACAGUU